GCCGGCGUGGCGGAACCAGGUAACGCGCUCGCCUCGAGAGCGAGUGUCCUUCGGGACUUGCAGGUUCAAAGGGCUUAAGCCUGAAAAUCCUGCCGCCGGCG
rnacentral:tRNA from 1 species